AUCUGAAAUUGCUGGAUAGUAUUUGAGAUUGUAGUUAGCCUCAAGUUCCCUGUUUUCAGGGUGAACCUACUUGUCGUUACUGCUUUCAUCAUGAAAUUACUAAAUUUCUCUGAGAU
rfam:Capsicum annuum cultivar Zunla-1 chromosome 7, whole genome shotgun sequence